GUGUUUUAAUUUAUUUGUUUGUAUCAGUAGUAAUUGUUUAAAGCGUUUGUUUAUUUAAAGGCGAGCGGAUGGCAGUCGCUCAUCCGCCACAACAGCAGCCAUAUAAUGAAAUAGUAGCUGCUGCCGCGACAGAGAGACACGGCCCGGCUAGCCGCCAGACCUUCCUGCCAAACACUCUUUUGCAUACGGUUCACAGGGUUUGUAGAAUGGAUUCAAUGAUGAUCCUUCCGCAGGUUCACCUACGGAAA
rnacentral:misc_RNA from 1 species